GCCAGGAACUGCUCUAGACAUUGGACAAGUGCACGUCAGCCUCCAAGGAAAAGGAAGCCCAGUGAUUUGUAAAAGUAAAGAGGUAAUUAUAUUGGGGACAGUAUAAUAUAAUCGAUCCAGAAGAAAGAAUUAUUUAUUAGAGAAAGGAAGAUGAAUUAACAGAAAAUCCUGGUCUUACCAAACUGAAUGGUGAUUAUUGGACGAAUGGAUCAUACAUGACAAAAUCUAACAUUUGCAUAUUUGGGAGUGAAAGCCGAACUCUGUCGUCUGGAGCUCUGGGUCCUUUGGAAAGUUCAGAGGAUGGAAGGUUUUCUUUCUUCUCUGGAGUCCAGAAGAGAAGCGGUGCUUUGGAAAGUUCACUGGAAUAGGAGAAAAUAAAUUUCCUGCUGAGCUUUGAAGUUUGAUGUCCUUAAAAAAAAAAAAAGCUUAAAUUUGUUGGUGAUACUUUUCCA